GCCUUAGUGGUGUAAAAGUAACACACUCGGCACGUAUUCGAGAGGUCCAGGUUCGAGUCCCGGCGAGGGCA
rnacentral:tRNA from 1 species